GACGAGGGAUCCUAGCGUUGUUCGGAAUCAUUGGGCGUAAAGCGGGUGUAGGCGGGCUUAUAAGUCAGGUGUGAAAUCCCAGGGCUCAACCCUGGAAGUGCAUUUGAUACUGUAAGUCUUGAAUGUGGUAGAGGUUACUAGAAUUCCUGGUGUAGUGGUGAAAUACGUAGAUAUCAGGAGGAAUACCAGAGGCGAAGGCGGGUAACUGGGCCAACAUUGACGCUGAACGGCGAAAGCUAGGGGAGCAAACGGG
rnacentral:rRNA from 1 species